rnacentral:rRNA from 1 species
CAAUAGCGUAUAUUAAAGUUGUUGCAGUUAAAAAGCUCGUAGUUGGAUUUCUGGUGGGAGCGAUCGGUCUGGCGCUUAGCGCGAGUACUUGCAUCGUCUCCGGCCAUCCUUGGGGAGAGUCUGUCUGGCAUUAGGUUGUCGGGCAGAGGAUCCUCAUCGUUUACUGUGAAAAAAUUAGAGUGUUCAAAGCAGGCUUAUGCCGUUGAAUAUAUUAGCAUGGAAUAAUAAGAUAGGACUUUGGUACUAUUUUGUUGGUUUGCGCACCAAAGUAAUGAUUAAUAGGGACAGUUGGGGGUAUUCGUAUUCCGUUGUCAGAGGUGAAAUUCUUGGAUUACGGAAGGCGAACUACUGCGAAAGCAUUUACCAAGGAUGUUUUCAUUAA